rnacentral:rRNA from 1 species
AGAGUUUGAUCCUGGCUCAGAUUGAACGCUGGCGGAACGCUUUACACAUGCAAGUCGAACGGUAACGCGGAGAGAAGCUUGCUUCUCUCCGGCGACGAGUGGCGAACGGGUGAGUAAUACAUCGGAACGUGUCCGCUCGUGGGGGACAACCAGCCGAAAGGUUGGCUAAUACCGCAUGAGUUCUACGGAAGAAAGAGGGGGACCCGCAAGGGCCUCUCGCGAGCGGAGCGGCCGAUGACUGAUUAGCCGGUUGGUGAGGUAACGGCUCACCAAGGCGACGAUCAGUAGCUGGUCUGAGAGGACGACCAGCCACACUGGGACUGAGACACGGCCCAGACUCCUACGGGAGGCAGCAGUGGGGAAUUUUGGACAAUGGGGGCAACCCUGAUCCAGCCAUGCCGCGUGCGGGAAGAAGGCCUUCGGGUUGUAAACCGCUUUUGUUAGGAACGAAAAGGCUUUGACGAAUAAUCAGAGCUGCUGACGGUACCUAAAGAAUAAGCACCGGCUAACUACGUGCCAGCAGCCGCGGUAAUACGUAGGGUGCGAGCGUUAAUCGGAAUUACUGGGCGUAAAGGGUGCGCAGGCGGUUGAGUAAGACAGAUGUGAAAUCCCCGAGCUUAACUCGGGAAUGGCAUAUGUGACUGCUCGACUAGAGUGUGUCAGAGGGAGGUGGAAUUCCACGUGUAGCAGUGAAAUGCGUAGAUAUGUGGAAGAACACCGAUGGCGAAGGCAGCCUCCUGGGACAUAACUGACGCUCAGGCACGAAAGCGUGGGGAGCAAACAGGAUUAGAUACCCUGGUAGUCCACGCCCUAAACGAUGUCUACUAGUUGUUGGACCGAAUGGUUUAGUAACACAGCUAACGCGAGAAGUAGACCGCCUGGGGAGUACGGUCGCAAGAUUAAAACUCAAAGGAAUUGACGGGGACCC